AAAAUAUCCACAAUGUUGAGGGUUUCCAAAUGUGAGUGAUGUUAAACCAUUUUGGCAAAGCUUGAGAUUCCCAUAUCCCUUUUCACUCAAACUUCCCCUGGCAGACAGUGUUGGAUACCCCUUCAUCAGGCAGAGGACCAUUUCUAAAAUACUUUGCCAAGUAAUCCCUCAGGUGUGGUUCUCUGAUCAAUACUGAAGCCUGUGGCUGUGGAGUCCUCACGCUGCUGAACGCUGAUGUUCUACAUACGCCUCAUGUUUAUAUAAUGACCUCGCUCUCCUUCUGUGGCGCCGUAGUUUGAGAGUCAAGUUGUUUGUCUGUUGCUUCAUCUGUCACAUCCAUCCAUCUGCCGACCGCUAAAUAUGUUCCUAUCAGAGGGGCUAAGCAUUUAUAAACUCUACCCGUCAGCGUUAGAAACAGUGUUUGAAGAGUGGCCCUCACUGUCAAGACUUAAAGCCCUGAGCAGCCACACAAGAUAAGCAGCCACGCAUCUUUCCCUCAAAGCAAUGUGAAGUGUAGAAAAGAAUAAACAGACCCUCCACCAGCCAUGUUUAAAUAUAGCCGUUGAUUAGAUGGACAUUGUUCUUUGUCUGGGCUUCUCAGAUUAGACCACUUACAGAGGCAUGUAUCUUUGUGUCCCAUGAUAGCAUUUCACGCCACCAAGCUAUUUAAGAGAGAGGUUUAUUUUCCAAGUCUGCGCGGUGUCCUGGGCAAUACAGCUGAAGGGCGGAAUCUGUCUUGUUCUCUCUGUUGUGGAAAGGAGGUGAAAAGAUGUCUCAGACACACCGAGAUUCUGGCAGAACCUUUCAGGGAAUCCCACAGGCCAUGGCCAAUGGAAGAGGUUCCCAAGGACUGCACUUCUCCCGGGGAAACAAGCUGGGGUAUAUGGAGGUGGAAAUCCUGGACUCUCAAAUGGGAAGGUCCCCAUAUGUUAUUGAUAAGAGUUCUAAAUAUGUGAACUGAAAGCGUACCAUUGGGGCAAUAAAGGGGUUCUACAGUACCCAAGGGCACUCGAUCAGUUUAUUCGACCACUGGAAAAAGAGACAGCUGGAAUGCUACCAUGCAAAGUUGAUCAAACUGGGCCCCAGGAGAAAAGAGAUUCUUGGGACCACAACCACCAGUUCACUUUCUGGGGUCCCACGGGUUCUAAAGGUUUGUGAGUGUACGUGGGUAAGUGUGCGUCUGUCAUAGGUGCUAGUAUGUGUGUGUGAUCCGGUAUAGGCUGGAGAGUAAAAGACAUGUUGUAUCAUGGGAUUGAGCCCCGCCUCCUUUGGAUUCUUGAAGACUGCGGGGAAGAACCGGCUCUUCUUGUCCCUAGAGAACCUCUGUCUUCCGGACAACUGGACUCUCAGCAUCGGAUCCUCACCAUGAAACUCUGUAAUUCCCAGUGUCAAGCUGCACAAAUCCUAUUGGAUAGAGAGAAGAUAGGAAGAGGGGUGGCGAGGAGGUGAAGUAACAGGAGUUUG
ensembl:lncRNA